rnacentral:tRNA from 1 species
GCGCCCUUAGCUCAGUUGGAUAGAGCACCAGCCUUCUAAGCUGGGUGUCGUGCGUUCGAGCCGCACAGGGCGUGCCA